rnacentral:rRNA from 1 species
UACGUAGGGUGCAAGCGUUGUCCGGAAUUAUUGGGCGUAAAGAGCUCGUAGGCGGUCUGUUGCGUCGGCUGUGAAAACCCGGGGCUCAACUCCGGGCCUGCAGCCGAUACGAGCAGACUAGAGUUCGGCAGGGGAGACUGGAAUUCCUGGUGUAGCGGUGGAAUGCGCAGAUAUCAGGAGGAACACCGGUGGCGAAGGCGGGUCUCUGGGCAGUAACUGACGCUGAGGAGCGAAAGCGUGGGGAGCGAACAGG